AUCUUUGUGCUUGUGGCAAUUACGCAGCUAGUGAUGUUAUACCGAGGCAUGUCAAUUGCUGGUUGAAAACUAUUCCCAAACCCUCCUCGAGAAUUUCUGGAUAGGCUCCCUCUAACCAAGGGUAAGGCC